rnacentral:tRNA from 1 species
GCGCUCGUAGCUCAAUUGGAUAGAGCAUCUGACUACGGAUCAGAAGGUUGGGGGUUCGAGUCCCUCCGGGUGUACCA